rnacentral:pre_miRNA from 1 species
ACCCUGUAGAACCGAAUUUGUGUGGUGUUUAUAUAAUCACAGAUUCGAUUCUAGGGGAAU